rnacentral:rRNA from 1 species
AUACGGAAGGUCCGGGCGUUAUCCGGAUUUAUUGGGUUUAAAGGGAGCGCGGGCGGAGAUGCAAGCGUGACGUCAAAUUUCGGGGCUCAACCCCGUCUCGCGUCGCGAACUGCGUCCCUUGGUUGCGGGAAGGGGAGGCGGAACUCGUGGUGUAGCGGUGAAAUGCAUAGAUAUCACGAAGAACUCCGAUCGCGAAGGCAGCCUUCCGGCCCGUCAACGACGCUCAUGCUCGAAGGUGCGGGUAUCAAACAGGAUUAGAUACCCUGGUAGUCCGCACAGUAAACGAUGGACACCCGCGGUUUGGCCUAUAUGGCUGAGCCGCCAAGCGAAAGCGUUAAGUGUCCCACCUGGGGAGUACGCCGGCAACGGUGAAACUCAAAGGAAUUGGCGGGG